GUGCUUUAGCAGCGCAUAUACUAAAAUUGGAAAGAUACAGAGAAUGUUAGCCUGGCCCUAGUGCAAGGAUGACAUGCAAAUCCAUGAAAUGUUUUAUUUUUUA